rnacentral:ncRNA from 1 species
GUCUUUGGGGCAGGGUGCAAUUCCCUACCGGCGGUAAAGCCCGCGAGCUAUUAUUUGCAUGAUUUGGUGAAAUUCCAAAGCCGACAGUAUAGUCUGGAUGAGAAAAGAUG